CCCUUAGAUGUUCUGGGCUGCACGCGCGCUACACUGAUGCGCUCAACGAGUUUAUGACCUUGCCCGGAAGGGUUGGGUAAUCUUUUCAAAACGCAUCGUGAUGGGGAUAGAUUAUUGCAAUUAUUAAUCUUCAACGAGGAAUUCCUAGUAAGCGCGAGUCAUCAGCUCGUGCUGAUUACGUCCCUGCCCUUUGUACACACCGCCCGUCGCACCUACCGAUUGAACGUUCCGGUGAGACCUUGGGAUUUGGUCUUUGAUACUUUAUUGUGUCGUUGACCGAAAAACUUGAGCAAACCUUAACGUUUAGAGGAAGGUGAAGUCGUAACA
rnacentral:rRNA from 1 species